UUCUCUUCCCAUUAGUUCAAAUAGCAACUGUUAAAAGAAAUGCCAGUCUAAAGAACACUAAACCAUUAUUGUUAGGUAGAGUGGCCACGCUGGCUUCAUGGACUAACUGAAAAACAAAGAUUAAUCUGUGCAUGAGUACAAGGUAUUAUUUCUAGAUGUACUUUUUCCGUUAAAUAUUAAGAAAAUAAUUUUUGUCGAUGGCGACCAGGUGGUUCGUACUGAUAUGAAGGAAUUGUUGGAGGAGCCAUUGGAUGGAGCACCUUAUGGAUACACUCCUUUACGUGAUAGUCAUACUGAUAUAGAUGGAUUCAGGUAAUUAAUGAUAUGUAUUUAAAUAACAAAUUUUGUCAAUAAUGGGAAGGAGACAAUUUUU